GUUGGUGUAAAUAAAGAAAAAGUCCCUGGCGCACAAGGCCCCCCAACACCCGGCCUCGGGGGGGGGGGGGGUGUCCCCGGAGGAAAAGCGAGUGGGUUGAAGAGCGCAGCCCGGUCACCACUCAGGUGGCCCAGACGCUCUCACGGAAGGCGAGCUGGGGAUAAUGGGGACAGUCAGGCCGGGGCCCCUCUUGGCAGGCGAGUUGUGUAACAGUCGCGCCUGGAAGUGAGCAGCUUGGCCCGCGAAGGGACCGCGUCCGGCGGCGGCUCCUGGAGGCGGCAGCCGGCCGCCCGGCCCGCUCGGCCCGAGCCCGCGCACCCGCCGCCGCCGCCCCGACCCCGCGCGGGCCGGGCCGGGCCGGGCCCCCCUCCUCCACACACCCCUCGCGCCUCCGCUUCCCACGCGCUCGCCGCUCGGGGCCGCGAUCGCCCCCACCCCGCCCUCGACCCCGGGCCCGGACGCCCGGAGGGCAGCGCCGGCGGGACGCGCGGACCGGCGUCCAUGCUGCCGGCGCGGCGGGAGCCCUACCUACCCGGCGCCCACCCGCCCCGCCGUCCGCGCGCCCACUUACUUUCGGGGCCGCAGACCUCGCGGCUCCCUCGGGGGGGCGGGGGGAAACGAAAGUUGUCACAGCGUCUCCCCGCGGGGCCCCCUCGCCUCCCGGACCCGCGAGGCGCCGCGGCGGAGCCGGGAGGGCUUGCUGCGCUCCCGCCCGCGUCCGUCCCGUCGCGCUCUCCUCCGCCUCCUCUUCUUUUCACUAUAUUAUCUUCUCCUGCUCGGAGGGGCGGGUGGGGGCGGGAGAGGUGAUGAUAGUCGUUUGGAAAACUGACCAGAGCCCCCCCGCCCCAAACAGAGAUACCCAGAAAGAGGGGGAAAGGCGGGGGGUGGGGUGGGGUGGGGGGUUGGGGGGAAAGAGAAAGAGUCGCUGGUCAGGAAACUUCAAGCGCGGAUGAGGUCAUUGGUUUAAAAAUAAAGAGAUGGCGUCACUUGAAACCAAUCCCAGUGAAUGAACUCAGCGGAGCCCCGGGGAAAGGAGGAGACAGGAGAGGGCAGGGCGGUGGGCGACGGGCGGGGCCGUGCGCCCGCCCGAACCCGGAGCGCGGCUCGGCGCCUGGUCGCGGCCGCUCGGGGAGGGGUCGGGUCACGUUCCGUUCCGGGGCCCGGCGACUCCGGGGCAGGUUCCGCGGGCGCCGCUGGGAGGAGCCGGGUGGCCGGGGGAGGCGGCCCCGCGGCCUCCUCCUUCCGCGCCCUCACGCCGGCUGCCCCCGGGGCCCCGGAUCCCCGACCCUCGGGCCGGGUCUCGGCCGCGUAGGGCUGCGCCCCAACAGGUAUUUCAGGGUUCCUGCCCCAGCGAGGCACAGAGCCUUUUCCUCCUCUUUGGGCUGUUUCCAGCUGCCUCCCCAGGGUGAAGAAACGCAAACAAUGAUUUGAGAGAAUUGCAAUCUUUUAAAAGUGAAAAGUCCAAAAUGCAGGGCACUGCGGGCUCUAGGAGAGAGAAGUUACAGGAAACGUAAAAUUCGACUGCCUAUAGACCUGCUGUUUUCACAACAGUUACCCAAGAGAGAGUUGGAGAGGAUCUGCAUCUCUAGUCUGCUUGGUUGGAGGAGUUGAGAUUCGAAAGAAGGAAGGAAAAGAGAGAGAAUCCUUGUCCUAGACUAGAUCCUGGAUCUAUUGGAUGAAAAGUUGGAUCCUGCCUGGAUGAAAGACCUCUUUACAUGCAGCUCCAGUCGCCUUAUUCUGACACAUCUUGAAACCUCUCUCUCCUCUUUCUUCAUUGACGCAAUUAAAUUGGAGCACCUUCCAUGUGUGUGCUAUUAUGGGAGUCUCCCACUGUAUAUCAUCUAAUUAGGGAAACAACACAAAUUAAAACCAAUUAAAAACCAAAUUAAUGAUUGAGUGGCAUACAAUAUUGGUUUAAAGAGUCCAGUGAACUCUUCAUGUCGUUGUAUGGCAAAAAACCACCACAAUAUUGUAAAGAUAUUAUCCUCAAAUUAAAUAAAAAUUUUUUUUAAUUAAAAAAAAAAGUAGAGUCCAGCAGAG
ensembl:lncRNA